rnacentral:rRNA from 1 species
GGGGAGGCUUACAUGCAGUCGAGCGAGCACUCGGCCUUGUAUCUUCGGAGGAAAGGCGGUUUGACUGAGCGGCGGACGGGUGAGUAACGCGUGGGCAACCUGCCCCAUACGGGGGAUAACAGUUAGAAAUGACUGCUAAUACCGCAUAAGACCGCGGUGCCGCAUGGCACAGCGGUAAAAACUCCGGUGGUAUGGGAUGGGCCCGCGUCUGAUUAGCUAGUUGGCGGGGUAACGGCCCACCAAGGCGACGAUCAGUAGCCGACCUGAGAGGGCGACCGGCCACAUUGGGACUGAGACACGGCCCAAACUCCUACGGGAGGCAGCAGUGGGGAAUAUUGCACAAUGGGGGAAACCCUGAUGCAGCGACGCCGCGUGAGCGAUGAAGUAUUUCGGUAUGUAAAGCUCUAUCAGCAGGGAAGAAGAUGACGGUACCUGACUAAGAAGCCCCGGCUAACUACGUGCCAGCAGCCGCGGUAAUACGUAGGGGGCAAGCGUUAUCCGGAUUUACUGGGUGUAAAGGGAGCGUAGACGGCGAUGCAAGCCAGAUGUGAAAGCCCGGGGCUCAACCCCGGGACUGCAUUUGGAACUGUGUGGCUGGAGCGUCGGAGAGGCAGGCGGAAUUCCUAGUGUAGCGGUGAAAUGCGUAGAUAUUAGGAGGAACACCAGUGGCGAAGGCGGCCUGCUGGACGAUGACUGACGUUGAGGCUCGAAAGCGUGGGGAGCAAACAGGAUUAGAUACCCUGGUAGUCC